AGACUGUACUCUGUAUGUGACCAUCUGUAACAGUGUCUUCGUGUGUGUGUGUGUCUGAGACUGUACUGUGUGUGUGACUGUCUGCCUGUGUGUGAGACUGUACUUUGUGUGUGACCGUCUGUAACAGUGUCUGACUGUGUGUGUGUGUGUGUGAGACUGUACUCUGUGUGUGACUGUCUGCCUGUGUAACUGUGCCUGACUAUAUGCCUUUUUGUGUGACUGUAACCAGGACCGGUCUUUGGGGUGUGCGAGCUGUGCGGCUGCACAAGGUGCCCUGGCAACAGGGAUGCCAGGUGGCGACACAGCUCACAGUCGGUCACUCACAAACCGGCCCGAAUUGGAAUGCAGGAGGAGCGUGGGGGUGCGACGUUGGAAGGAUCUGUUCAGUGGGUGUCAGGGCGGCAGGUGCUCUUCAGUCGGCGCGUCAGACAGAGUGGGAAAAACUGACAGCUGGAUACAGGGAGCAGCAGCCUUUAAUGUAAGUGUUUGUCCUUAUUGCUUUUUUUUUUUAAUAUAACAAUUGCAUUUUAUUGAAGCGGGCAGGGGGCUAGUGAUAAGUGGGCAGGGGGCUAGUGAUAAAGGGG